rnacentral:lncRNA from 1 species
GUGAUGGAGUAGGAAGAAAGGCAUUGAAUGUGUGUUUUGGAGUGCAACACAUACUAUGACCUUCUGGUAAUGUAGACUGGGGAGAAAUAGUGUCCUCCUUUUUCCCAUGGCAAUCAAUAAAACUGAAUUUUGGCUUCCUAAGCUAUAGCACAUUGACAUGGCAUGAGCUGGAGCUGGUAAAAGAAUAGGAUAUGAGGCAAUUUUCAACUGGAUGCAGACAGGGUAGCACUGAUUUUCUGCUACAGUAUUCUAUUUCAACAUGGAAAAUCAUCACACAGGAGGAAGCCUGUUCUGUGGUGGAAUUGCUUGGAGGAAGAACUUUCUGGUGGAGCACAGUAGUAACAUCAGUGAUUAAAACAAAACCGAUGUUAAAAGAGGAAGAUGAGUAAGGCUGCCAAGUGAAAUACUAGUGCAUGAAAUAAAGCUGAAUUAAUUAUAUUACAUGUACAUUAUAAUUUGAUUUUUGAUUAUGUGAUCACAUAUCUUUUUAAGAGGAUCAUCGCCUGAUUCAAUGCGUCUGAUAGGCUGCACUCACGUAACGUACUAAACAAUGUUCAGCCACAUUCUCCUUGUUCAGUGUGUGGCCAGAUGCCUUAUUUACUGCAAUCCUUUCUAAAAUUAGAAUUAUUAAUUUCCUCACAGGCCUUGAUGUGUUUUGUGUUGUGCUUGUG